rnacentral:lncRNA from 1 species
UAUUCUGAUUGGUGAAACAGAACACUAAUGGUAACUUAAGAAAUAAGUCUUGUCUGCCCCUACCACCUAGGAAGUUUUCAUGGAUGCAUCAUUUGAUAACUUUUUCUCAGCCUAUGUCCGAGAGGAAAAAAAAGGAGAAAUUUAGGACUUCAGCCAAGAAAAUAUAACGGUUUCCCAAUAUGCAGCCCGAUUUGUCUAACUGUUUAGGUUUGCUCCUCUAAUGGUCACCUCCAAAAGUCGUAAAGUUAGACAGUUUC